AUUGAACGCUGGCGGAAUGCUUUACACAUGCAAGUCGAACGGUAGAGGGGGCAACCCCUUGAGAGUGGCGAACGGGUGAGUAAUAUAUCGGAACGUGCCCAGUCGUGGGGAUAACGUAGCGAAAGUUACGCUAAUACCGCAUACGAUCUAAGGAUGAAAGCGGGGGAUCGCAAGACCUCGCGCGAUUGGAGCGGCCGAUAUCAGAUUAGGUAGUUGGUGAGGUAAUGGCUCACCAAGACGAUGAUUGGUAGGGGAACUGAGAGGUUAAUCCCCCACACUGGCACUGAGAUACGGGCCAGACUCCUACGGGAGGCAGCAGUAGGGAAUAUUGGGCAAUGGAGGGGAACUCUGAACCAGCCAUGCCGCGUGGAGGAUGAAAGGUCCUCUGGAUUGU
rnacentral:rRNA from 1 species